GGGCCAGUGGUUUAGUGGUAUAACGCCUCCUUUGCAAGGAGGAGGUCGCGGGUUCGAUUCCCGCCUGGUCCA
rnacentral:tRNA from 1 species